rnacentral:rRNA from 1 species
UACGUAGGGAGCAAGCGUUGUUCGGAUUUACUGGGCGUAAAGAGCUCGUAGGCGGUCUGUCGCGUCUGCUGUGAAAACUCAGGGCUUAACCCUGAGCUUGCAGUGGGUACGGGCAGACUAGAGUGCGGUAGGGGAGACUGGAAUUCCUGGUGUAGCGGUGAAAUGCGCAGAUAUCAGGAGGAACACCGGUGGCGAAGGCGGGUCUCUGGGCCGUAACUGACGCUGAGGAGCGAAAGCAUGGGGAGCGAACAGG